UUCAGACAGUUCCUGGCAUUUUUUAGUGUUCAUCAGAUGGCGCUGUCCCUCUUUCGUUUCAUUGCUGCUAUUGGAAGAACACAAGUUGUUGCAAACACACUUGGAACCUUCACCUUGCUUCUGGUUUUUGUGCUUGGAGGAUUCGUUGUUGCCAAAAAUGACAUUGCACCUGUGAUGAUUUGGGGCUAUUAUGUUUCUCCUAUGAUGUAUGGACAGAA
rnacentral:misc_RNA from 1 species